GAUGAACGCUGGCGGCGUGCCUAAUACAUGCAAGUCGAGCGAACAGACGAGGAGCUUGCUCCUCUGACGUUAGCGGCGGACGGGUGAGUAACACGUGGAUAACCUACCUAUAAGACUGGGAUAACUUCGGGAAACCGGAGCUAAUACCGGAUAAUAUAUUGAACCGCAUGGUUCAAUAGUGAAAGACGGUUUUGCUGUCACUUAUAGAUGGAUCCGCGCCGCAUUAGCUAGUUGGUAAGGUAACGGCCUACCAAGGCAACGAUGCGUAGCCGACCUGAGAGGGUGAUCGGCCACACUGGAACUGAGACACGGUCCAGACUCCUACGGGAGGCAGCAGUAGGGAAUAUUCCGCAAUGGGCGAAAGCCUGACGGAGCAACGCCGCGUGAGUGAUGAAGGUCUUCGGAUCGUAAAACUCUGUUAUUAGGGAAGAACAAAUGAGUAAGUAACUAUGCACGUCUUGACGGUACCUAAUCAGAAAGCCACGGCUAACUACGUG
rnacentral:rRNA from 1 species